rnacentral:rRNA from 1 species
GACAGAGGGGGCAAGCGUUGCUCGGAAUUACUGGGCGUAAAGGGCGCGUAGGCGGUGCUGUAAGUCAGGCGUGAAAUCCCCGGGCUCAACCUGGGAAUUGCGUUUGAUACUGCGGCGCUGGAAUGCGGGAGAGGAUGGCGGAAUUCCCAGUGUAGAGGUGAAAUUCGUAGAUAUUGGGAAGAACACCGGUGGCGAAGGCGGC